UUGAAAAAGAAAGGAAGCCAUUAUUUGAAUUAUUUUAAGCAUAUAGAAGAAAUUUAGAAAAUAGGAAAAUUCAUAAUGAAAGUAGGAUCCUCUACUAGUCAUUUUAAACCAAUUGGGGUGGAGGGGAUACCAAAGAUUAAACAACCCAUAAAGGUUGAUAAGUAUCUCAGAAUUCCCAAUUAGGUAAAAAAUAAAAAAUAGAGUGAUACCUAGAUUCCAUUAAUCUAAAUCCCUUUUCCAAAUUCCAACUAUUGCUUAAAAUAAAACUAUAGAAAACAAGAAAACUAAUUACCGAAUAAAAAAGUAAUUGCAUCCCAUAAACAUCCACUACGAAGAAACCUUGAAUCUUCACUUCUUCAUCCAUUCUAUUUUUCACAAUCUUCAACCUCUUUAUCCAGUCCACUAUCCAACCAUGGAUUCUUUUAAACAAUUCAAUGAGCAUUUCUUGAAACACAUGAUGAAGUGUGUCUAACACUAUCAUCAAUACUCAUCUUCUUACCUCUUAGACUCCCUUUGAUUGGACCAAACAUAUUACUAUUUUUUUUGAAACUAUUCUUCAUACUCCCUUUCUUGGAAGGAAUAAAAAAUUUCCCCUCCUCUAAUAGUUCUUCUUUACUCUUUACUUUGUUUCUCUUAGUCAAAGGAGUAACAGACGAUUGUAUUCCUUCCAGAAUUUCUAUCUCUUUCUUAUGUUCUCUACAUUUCAAACUUUCAGCUAUACAAGGUUCCUCCAUAGCAGAAUUUCCAUAUACAGCAUUCAUUGACUCAAGAGCCUCCCAUUUGUCUACAACAUUUUGUUUUAACCUUGUAUAACAAGUUUGAACACCUUCUACCAUACCAGCAUGCUCAUUAUUCUGAUAUAAUUUCCCCUCUUCAAGCUGUUCCGGUUCAGACAAUCCCGAUUCUAAAAUCUGCUUUUCUGUCACCGAGCAAAAAAUUUUCUGGAACUACUAUACUUUCUAUGUCUGGCAUUCCACAAUCUUCACCAUUUAUUCUACCCAUUUCUUCAGCAAAGACCUGGGACAACAAAUUGAAUUUGUUCCCAGUUAUUAUUUCACCCGGAUCCAAACUUUCUUCCAGAAUUUUCAAUUCAGCUGAAAUUUGAGGUUUUUUUCCUGAACCCGAUAUUUCCUUCUCCAAUAUAACUUCUGGAUUGAAGCAUACCUGCUGGUUAGCAAAUUUGUGCUUGUGCCCAUCAAAUUUUUUUAUCCUUAUUCAUCAGUUGUCCUGUAGCUUGGAAAGAAUUAUCUUUGCUUUGAUGUUUCAAACCAACUUUCAUCUGAAGUUGUCUCACCUUGGAUGCAUCUUUGUUAAACCUUUUAUUCCAUUUGGAAUUAACAUGGACCCAAGGUCCAUAAUUAUCUAUCAUCUCCUUCUCUUGAGCCUUCUUAAGAUUUCCUUUGCCUUGAAUGAAAGAAGCAUUCACACUAUUCUUCUCUACUGCAUUUGCCUUUUCACAAUUGAUUAUUUCAUGACCAAUUGUACCACAAUCAUAACAAAACGAAGAGAUUCUUUCAUACUCUACUUUUUGAAAGAAUCUCCCUCCCAAUCCUUACACCCAAACACCCAAGGGAAGAGGUUUGUCUAGUUCCAUACGAACACAAACUCUAGCAAACUCCCUUCUUCCCCAAUGAAACAUUUUCCCAUCCAACAUUAAAGGAUCACCUACCAUCGAAGCAAUCAUAGCAACAUUUUUCUCAUCCUAACAAUGUAGAGGCAAUUGUGGCAUUCUAAUCCAUAUCGGAGAGGUUAAUCCUUUCGUAGAGCUCGGAGAAAACUCCAUUGACCACCUUUCCAUACCCAUAAUGUGAUCAUUUACAAACCAAGGCCCACCUGAUAAAACUCCUUCCAUAGCUUCUAGUGUUUUGAAUGAGCACAAAUACCAACCCAUUCCUAAGGUUGUUAAAUGAAAUUGACCAUAAUAAGCCCAUUGUCUUCUCAACUCCCAAGCCACUAAAUGUGGCAAAAUUUCCUUCCCAAAAAUCUUAGCAACCAAUGAAUACUCUAAUCUUUUAGCAUUCAAAACUUCAGUGGCUUCAUCUAACUUAACAACUUUUCCAUCUUUAGAAAGUACCACCUCCUCUCUUUUGAAAUUCAACUUGAUAUAAGAUUUAUUACUCCAUGGAUUACUCAUCUUGUUCUUAAUCUCAGUUUUUUCAGAUAAAUCUUCCAUCCUCGGUUCAGCUAUUCCUUCACUGCUAUCCGCUUUAUUAUCCAAUUGAUCAUUCCUCUUCAUAAUAUUAUUAUGUAAAUUUUUGUCAACUGAAUUCAAAGAAUUCACAUUUAUCUCGCUGUCAUAAAUAGGGAUUGCAUUUGAAUUCCCAAAUCUGUUUACAAAUAUUUUCAUACCAGAAGAUGAAGCCUCAUGAUCGAAUGGAGAAAAGCCUUUAGGUUUCAAAAAAAGUGGAGUCUUUCAUCCAGAAUUUAAAACAACACUUUUACCUUUUCCUUCAAUGUACCUUGUCUUCUCAAAAUGGAAACCACCAUUUUCGAAUAAGACAAGUUCACCCUUUAAUCUUCGUCUGCGAUCGUCUUCUGCUUUACGAACAAUUUUUGACAACUGCUGCUCUUGCUUCGUUAUCUUCUUCAAGCCCAUUCCGUCUUCAUCGGUUACAUUUCCAAUCAAAGGCGGUGAUGGCCGGCGGCCAUCCACCACCAUGUCCCACCACCUUCUCGAAUCCAAGGCGGAAAAAACGGGAUUGAAAAAAAUUGAAAAAAUUUGUACUCAGAAAUUUCUCUCUCUAGUGCCAAAAAGCCACCUUGGGAUAGAUCUAAUUUCAAUUUCAGGCCAAUUCAAGAUGCCCUAACCCUAGGAAAACAAAGUAUUUAAUGCAUACAAAUCAAAAGAAAAUCCCUAAACAGUCCCUACAUUUAAAUUUCCCUCUUUAAUCCCCCAAAAUUCUUUCCUAUUUGGUUCCUGAAAGCUUGCGACCCGUGCGGCUGUAGCAGGAGGUGGAGAGCGCUCUCCUCGUUUGCGCCUGGGCCGAUCUUGCGUGGACCGGCUGGACCGGUUCAAUGGACCGGUCUAACAAUACUCCCCUCUCAAAUAUCCACCUUGUCCUCAAGGUGGGAAUAUGCUCGUGUUCCCGUGGGGGUGGCCAUCCUUGAGGUGGCUGAAAAACCUUAUCAAAUUACUGAAUCAAGGGUUGUACUGAAAGAGAAACUUUCCCUCCCUCCUCCAAUAUGAUCACAUUCAAUCUGUGUAGUCCCACCAGAUAAUCUUCUCCCACCUCUUGUAUGUCCCUAACCAUGUUCUUAAGUGAUGUCAUGACUUUCGAUAACCCGGCAUCUCCCCUUAUAACCCCUCCCAUCUACCAUUAAUUCCAUUGUGAGUGCUCUACAAUUGUCCUUGGUUUUCUCCAAGGUUUGCAACCAUUUCAUUCCCAGGAUGACAUCGGUACUUCCUAACUCUAGUGGGAGAAAAUCCUCCCUUACCUGAAUCCCCUGGAUGGUCAACACCACUUCUCUACAGAUCUCCUGGCCUUUCUCCACCUUCCCUGUACCCAUCAUCACCCCAUAAUAACCGGUGUCCACCAAUUUCACUCUCAAUUGGUUGACGACCUGAGUGAAAAUGAAAUUAUGGGUAGGCCCAAUCAAAACAACCACCUCCAUGCCUGUUAUUUCCCCCUUCACCUUCAUCGUAUGAUUUGAAGUGAAUCAUACUACUAAAUUUAGAGAGACCUCAGCUAGAUCCAAAUGCAACUUCUCCUCCAUCUCUUCCUCUAACUCCCCCUCACCUCCCUCAUUUUCCUCGUCAUCACAAAUAGUCAGAACCUGAAGAGUUCGGUCCUUGCACCGAUGUCCUCGCAUAUACUUGUCCUCUGACCUAAAAUUCAACCGCUUUUCCCUCCUCUCCUGCAUCUCCUUCUCUGUUAGACUCUUGAAAUUUUACCCACUCUCUCCUCCUACUGGCUUCUCCUUAGUGGUCUCAUUAAUGUUGCCUGAUGCAGGCCCAUUGGGUGCUAGAAGAGUGGUCGUCGUCCUGUAAGAUCCUCCUGAGCUGUUGCUCCUGGCUCCCUUCUCUAGAUUCUUCUGAUUUUCCACCAGAUGGGCCAACUUCAUGGCCUCCCCCAAUUCAUGAGGCAUCAGAACCUUCACUGCUGCUCGGAUCUCUGCCUUCAACCCCUUCAUGAAGUUUCCCUCCAAUACCGUAUCUGAUAAUCUAUCCACCCUACUGGCUAGGUGCUCAAACUGCUCCCGGUAGUCUGCAAAUGAUCCCUCUUAUGCCAAAGCAAAGAACCGCUCAUAGAAAUCUCCUUUCCGGUCAGCUUGGAAACGUUCUAUUAUGCAGUCCAUGAAUUCCCUCCAGUCCCUAGUAGGUCUCCUCUGGUCUCUCCAUUGGUACCAUGACAGUGCAUUCCCCUCCAAACAUAUGCAUGCUGCUGUCAGCUUCUCCUCCUCCGUUAGCCCAUUAACGACAAAGUAUCUCUCCACCUUGUAGAUCCACCCAUACGCAUUCUCCCCCUCGAAGAUAGGCAUCUUCAAAUUCCUCACCUUUCGAUCUCCACCAUUCCCCCAUAUUCCUCCAUAGCUUCCUCUCUCUCAAGUGCUCGGCCAACCCCACGUCUCCCGGUCUUCCCUUGCCCCGCCAUAGCCCAAACCCCCUUCGAAUUCCCCUCUUCUUCCUUCAAAAUCAGCACCUCGACAACCAUAAUGUCCCUCCCGGCAUUCUCAAUCAGCACCCCUUUGCUCCGUCCCUCCAUAUAUGCCUUUCCCCAUACCUACCUCAUCUAUCCUCCCUCUAGAAAGGCUCCAUAUAGGGUUUCCUUCUUUCUCCAUCCACUAUUUCCACCUCAUCUUCCUCCCUACGAAUUUCAGAAUUCAUGUUUUUUUCUUCCUCCCCUUUUUCCAUGGAAUCCGCCAUUUGGUUGUAGAUUUCCAACAUUUUCUUCAUCAUGUCUCGGAGAUCAGCUACUUGUUCUUCCAUGGAGGAAAUCCUUUCCUCCACCGUUGUCUUUAUUUGGUUCAUCUCUCCUUCAAGCCUUUCUUCUAGCGCAUCAACUUUCUUGGCCGCCAUCUCGAUCCGAACUUUUGUAAAUCCAAAAAUUCCGGUUUUGGAUUACAAAAAUAGCAACUUCAUCCCUUCCCGACCAAAAAUCAGUCGCUGAAAUUUGCCAAAAUCAGCCAACAAACGGUCCCAAGACUUGCUCUGAUACCAAUUUGAUAUGAAACACUUGUAGAUCUCGGGUAUUUCCUAUCAAUCUUCGUAAAAUAGCGAGAAAUUCUUCCAAAAUCCAAUGAAAUCCAAGAAAAAUAGUAGAUUUUAUUGCACGAAAUCAACUAAUGAAAGAAAAACAAACAAGAUACAAUUGAUUUCUCCCAAAUCUCUAUACGUCAUUAGAACUUAAAGAAAACCUAAAUCUAAGAUAUCUCAAAUCUCAACCAAAUUCAAGAUGCCCCAAUCGUAGGAAAACAAAGUAUUUAAUGCAUACAAAUCAAAAGGAAAUCCCUAAAUUGUCCCUACAUUCAAAUUUCCUCUUGAAUCCCCCAAAAUUCUUUCCUAUUUGGCUCCCGAAAGCUUGCGAUCCGUGCGGCUGUAGCAGGAGGCGGAGAGCGCUCGCCUCAUUCGCACCUGAGCCGGUCCUGCGUGGGCCGGCUAGACCGGUCUAACAAAGUUCACAAUGAUUUGUGAAGAAUAAGUUCAAAAUCUUAUACAUCAAUUGGUCGGAAUGAAUAGAAAAUAAUGAUUCAUGCGGUUGAUCUCAAAUUAAUGUGAUUAAGUUUGAUGAUGGUGUGAUUUCAUUAUUUUUUCAACCUUUCUUUUAGAAUAUGCAAUCACCCAUUUUUCUUUUUAAACAGGUCGAAUUGCACGCAAAUGGAAAUUCUGACCCAUACAAUAGAGAGAACAAUCAGACCGUCCUAGAUUAUUUACAUAAGUGGUGAUGUGGAAUAUCAGACGGCUAUCAUGAGCCAUCAUGGAUGAGAGUUUCUCAGCGAUUUCACACGUUGAGCCAAGUUAUUGUUGGUGCUUCUGUAGGAUCUGCUUUCAGUCUCGUAUGGUUCUGGAUGUGGCAUUCAUUUGUUCUAAAAGCAUUUGUCUCAUCCAUCUGGGUUAGGAUAUCUGUCAUUCUAGGCUCAGUAUCUUUCUGUCUGGCCUUCUUAUUUUAUGUAAUUCAGAAUUGGCUUCAGGAUGAGUGAUAUCAACCCAUGCCUUUGUGUACAUUAUACAUGAUUUUUUUUUUUUAUAUAUAUUUAGAUUUUGAUAUUGUAAUUUUUAAAUGAAUGAUUCAAAUUUAAA